rnacentral:rRNA from 1 species
CAGCAGCCGCGGGAAUACGUAGGGUGCAAGCGUUAAUCGGAAUUACUGGGCGUAAAGCGUGCGCAGGCGGUUAUAUAAGACAGAUGUGAAAUCCCCGGGCUCAACCUGGGAACUGCAUUUGUGACUGUAUAGCUAGAGUACGGCAGAGGGGGAUGGAAUUCCGCGUGUAGCAGUGAAAUGCGUAGAUAUGCGGAGGAACACCGAUGGCGAAGGCAAUCCCCUGGGCCUGUACUGACGCUCAUGCACGAAAGCGUGGGGAGCAAACAGGAUUAGAUACUCCUGUAGUCCCUGUCUCUUAUAC